rnacentral:rRNA from 1 species
UACGUAGGGAGCAAGCGUUGUUCGGAUUUACUGGGCGUAAAGGGCGCGUAGGCGGCCUGUUAAGUCGGACGUGAAAUCCCUCGGCUCAACCGGGGAACUGCGUCCGAUACUGGCGGGCUUGAAUUCGGGAGAGGGAUGUGGAAUUCCAGGUGUAGCGGUGAAAUGCGUAGAUAUCUGGAGGAACACCGGUGGCGAAGGCGGCAUCCUGGACCGACAUUGACGCGUGAGGCG